GCGUAACGCGUGGGAAUCUGCCCUUCGGUUCGGAAUAACUCAGGGAAACUUGAGCUAAUACCGGAUGAUGUCUUCGGACCAAAGAUUUAUCGCCGAGGGAUGAGCCCGCGUAGGAUUAGGUAGUUGGUGGGGUAAUUGCCUACCAAGCCGACGAUCCUUAGCUGGUCUGAGAGGAUGAUCAGCCACACUGGGACUGAGACACGGCCCAGACUCCUACGGGAGGCAGCAGUAGGGAAUAUUGGACAAUGGGGGCAACCCUGAUCCAGCAAUGCCGCGUGAGUGAUGAAGGCCUUAGGGUUGUAA
rnacentral:rRNA from 1 species